AGAGUUUGAUCAUGGCUCAGAUUGAACGCUGGCGGCAGGCCUAACACAUGCAAGUCGAACGGUAACAGAAAGCAGCUUGCUGCUUUGCUGACGAGUGGCGGACGGGUGAGUAAUGUCUGGGAAACUGCCCGAUGGAGGGGGAUAACCACUGGAAACGGUAGCUAAUACCGCAUAACGUCGCAAGACCAAAGAGGGGGACCUUCGGGCCUCUUGCCAUCGGAUGUGCCCAGAUGGGAUUAGCUAGUAGGUGGGGUAAAGGCUCACCUAGGCGACGAUCCCUAGCUGGUCUGAGAGGAUGACCAGCCACACUGGAACUGAGACACGGUCCAGACUCCUACGGGAGGCAGCAGUGGGGAAUAUUGCACAAUGGGCGCAAGCCUGAUGCAGCCAUGCCGCGUGUAUGAAGAAGGCCUUCGGGUUGUAAAGUACUUUCAGCGGGGGGGAAGGGAGUAAAGUUAAUACCUUUGCUCAUUGACGUUACCCGCAGAAGAAGCACCGGCUAACUCCGUGCCAGCAGCCGCGGUAAUACGGAGGGUGCAAGCGUUAAUCGGAAUUACUGGGCGUAAAGCGCACGCAGGCGGUUUGUUAAGUCAGAUGUGAAAUCCCCGGGCUCAACCUGGGAACUGCAUCUGAUACUGGCAAGCUUGAGUCUCGUAGAGGGGGGUAGAAUUCCAGGUGUAGCGGUGAAAUGC
rnacentral:rRNA from 1 species